rnacentral:rRNA from 2 species
AAGCUUGCUUCUCUUGAGAGCGGCGGACGGGUGAGUAAUGCCUAGGAAUCUGCCUGGUAGUGGGGGAUAACGCUCGGAAACGGACGCUAAUACCGCAUACGUCCUACGGGAGAAAGCAGGGGACCUUCGGGCCUUGCGCUAUCAGAUGAGCCUAGGUCGGAUUAGCUAGUUGGUGAGGUAAUGGCUCACCAAGGCGACGAUCCGUAACUGGUCUGAGAGGAUGAUCAGUCACACUGGAACUGAGACACGGUCCAGACUCCUACGGGAGGCAGCAGUGGGGAAUAUUGGACAAUGGGCGAAAGCCUGAUCCAGCCAUGCCGCGUGUGUGAAGAAGGUCUUCGGAUUGUAAAGCACUUUAAGUUGGGAGGAAGGGCAGUUACCUAAUACGUAAUUGUUUUGACGUUACCGACAGAAUAAGCACCGGCUAACUCUGUGCCAGCAGCCGCGGUAAUACAGAGGGUGCAAGCGUUAAUCGGAAUUACUGGGCGUAAAGCGCGCGUAGGUGGUUCGUUAAGUUGGAUGUGAAAGCCCCGGGCUCAACCUGGGAACUGCAUUCAAAACUGACGAGCUAGAGUAUGGUAGAGGGUGGUGGAAUUUCCUGUGUAGCGGUGAAAUGCGUAGAUAUAGGAAGGAACACCAGUGGCGAAGGCGACCACCUGGACUGAUACUGACACUGAGGUGCGAAAGCGUGGGGAGCAAACAGGAUUAGAUACCCUGGUAGUCCACGCCGUAAACGAUGUCAACUAGCCGUUGGGAGCCUUGAGCUCUUAGUGGCGCAGCUAACGCAUUAAGUUGACCGC